AUUCCAGCUCCAAUAGCGUAUAUUAAAGUUGUUGCGGUUAAAAAGCUCGUAGUUGGAUUUCUGCUUGGGACAACCGGUCCGCCCUCUGGGUGAGUAUCUGGCUUGGCCCGGGCAUCUUCUUGGGGAACGUUACUGCACUUGACUGUGUGGUGCGGAGCCCAGGACCUUUACUUUGAGGAAAUUAGAGUGUUUCAAGCAGGCAUUUGCCUUGAAUACAUUAGCAUGGAAUAAUAAGAUAGGACCUCGUCCCUACCUUGUUGGUUCGUAUGGAUGAGGUAAUGAUUAAUAGGGAUAGUCGGGGGCAUUCGUACUUAACUGUCAGAGGUGAAAUUCUUGGAUUUCUGAAAGACGAACUACUGCGAAAGCAUUUACCAAGGAUGUUUUCAUCA
rnacentral:rRNA from 1 species